AUUGAACGCUGGCGGCAUGCCUUACACAUGCAAGUCGAAUGGCAGCACGGACUUCGGUCUGGUGGCGAGUGGCGAACGGGUGAGUAAUGUAUCGGAACGUACCUUUCAGUGGGGGAUAACGUAGCGAAAGUUACGCUAAUACCGCAUAUUCUGUGAGCAGGAAAGCAGGGGAUCGAAAGACCUUGCGCUGAUUGAGCGGCCGAUAUCAGAUUAGCUAGUUGGUGGGGUAAAGGCCUACCAAGGCGACGAUCUGUAGCGGGUCUGAGAGGAUGAUCCGCCACACUGGAACUGAGACACGGUCCAGACUCCUACGGGAGGCAGCAGUGGGGAAUUUUGGACAAUGGGGGCAACCCUGAUCCAGCCAUGCCGCGUGAGUGAAGAAGGCCUUCGGGUUGUAAAGCUCUUUCGGCCGGGAAGAAAUCGCAUAGGCUAAUACCCUGUGUGGAUGACGGUACCGGAAUAAGAAGCACCGGCUAACUACGUG
rnacentral:rRNA from 1 species